UCCUCCUUCCACGGAGGAAACGCUGCCGUCUGCGCGCGCACCUGUUGCACGGUGAUCCAGCGCUGACUGAAAAGUUUGCGUUUGUUCCGGAACGACGUUUAUUUGGCAAAGCUGGAAGUCAUUGAGCUCAGGGAGAAAAACUGCGCUAUUGGGAGAAAAACUGCGCUAUUGCUCCUGCAGGGAGGUGUUGAAGAGCCACUGACACUGACAGACACUGCGUGGAGGAACUGUGAAAGAAGCAGGACUUGACUCCCAAGGAACAGAACAUGGAGAUCAACGUGUCCUUCCUGACUGAGUCUGAGCAAGAAUUCAUACUAGAAGUCCUUCGGCGAGAUGAGGAGCUGAGGCGCUUGGAGGAGCUCCGU